UGAAGGCAUUUGGACAACAGCUAGAA
rnacentral:sRNA from 1 species